rnacentral:rRNA from 1 species
CAAUGAUGCAUAGCCGAGUUGAGAGACUGAUCGGCCACAUUGGGACUGAGACACGGCCCAAAUUCCUACGGGAGGCUGCAGUAGGGAAUCUUCCACAAUGGGCGAAAGCCUGAUGGAGCAACGCCGCGUGUGUGAUGAAGGCUUUCGGGUCGUAAAGCACUGUUGUAUGGGAAGAACAGCUAGAAUAGGAAAUGAUUUUAGUUUGACGGUACCAUACCAGAAAGGGACGGCUAAAUACGUGCCAGCAGCCGCGGUAAUACGUAUGUCCCGAGCGUUAUCCGGAUUUAUUGGGCGUAAAGCGAGCGCAGACGGUUUAUUAAGUCUGAUGUGAAAGCCCGGAGCUCAACUCCGGAAUGGCAUUGGAAACUGGUUAACUUGAGUGCAGUAGAGGUAAGUGGAACUCCAUGUGUAGCGGUGGAAUGCGUAGAUAUAUGGAAGAACACCAGUGGCGAAGGCGGCUUACUGGACUGCAACUGACGUUGAGGCUCGAAAGUGUGGGUAGCAAACAGGAUUAGAUACCCUGGUAGUCCACACCGUAAACGAUGAACACUAGGUGUUAGGAGGUUUCCGCCUCUUAGUGCCGAAGCUAACGCAUUAAGUGUUCCGCCUGGGGAGUACGACCGCAAGGUUGAAACUCAAAGGAAUUGACGGGGACCCGCACAAGCGGUGGAGCAUGUGGUUUAAUUCGAAGCAACGCGAAGAACCUUACCAGGUCUUGACAUCCUUUGAAGCUUUUAGAGAUAGAAGUGUUCUCUUCGGAGACAAAGUGACAGGUGGUGCAUGGUCGUCGUCAGCUCGUGUCGUGAGAUGUUGGGUUAAGUCCCGCAACGAGCGCAACCCUUAUUGUUAGUUGCCAGCAUUCAGAUGGGCACUCUAGCGAGACUGCCGGUGACAAACCGGAGGAAGGCGGGGACGACGUCAGAUCAUCAUGCCCCUUAUGACCUGGGCUACACACGUGCUACAAUGGCGUAUACAACGAGUUGCCAACCCGCGAGGGUGAGCUAAUCUCUUAAAGUACGUCUCAGUUCGGAUUGUAGUCUGCAACUCGACUACAUGAAGUCGGAAUCGCUAGUAAUCGCGGAUCAGCACGCCGCGGUGAAUACGUUCCCGGGUCUUGUACACACCGCCCGUCACACCAUGGGAGUUUGUAAUGCCCAAAGCCGGUGGCCUAACCUUUAGGAAGGAGCCGUUCUAAGGC